rnacentral:rRNA from 1 species
CUACGGGUCGCACCAGUGAGGAAUAUUGCACAAUGGGGGGAACCCUGAUGCAGCAACGCCGCGUGGAGGAUGACGCAUUUCGGUGUGUAAACUCCUUUUAUAUGUCAAGAAGAUGACGGUAGCAUAUGAAUAAGCGCCGGCUAACUCCGUGCCAGCAGCCGCGGUAAUACGGAGGGCGCAAGCGUUACUCGGAAUCACUGGGCGUAAAGGACGCGUAGGCGGGUUGAAAAGUCAGGUGUGAAAGCCUACAGCUUAACUGUAGAACUGCGCUUGAAACUCUCAAUCUAGAGUAUGGGAGGGGCAGAUGGAAUUAGUGGUGUAGGGGUAAAAUCCGUAGAUAUCACUAGGAAUACCUAAAGCGAAGGCGAUCUGCUGGAACAUUACUGACGCUAAGGCGUGAAAGCGUGGGGAGCAAACAGGAUUAGAUACCCCCGUAGUC